rnacentral:rRNA from 1 species
GAUGAACGCUGGCGGCGUGCCUAAUACAUGCAAGUCGAGCGAACAGACGAGGAGCUUGCUCCUCUGACGUUAGCGGCGGACGGGUGCGUAACACGUGGAUAACCUACCUAUCAGACUGGGAUAACUUCGGGAAACCGGAGCUACUACCGGAUAAUAUAUUGAACCUCAUGGUUCAAUAGUUAAAGACGGUUUUGCUGUCACUUAUAGAUGGAUCCGCGCCGCAUCAGCUAGUUGGUAAGGUAACGGCUUACCAAGGCAACGAUGCGUAGCCGACCUGAGAGGGUGAUCGGCCACACGGGAACUGAGACACGGUCCAGACUCCGACGGGAGGCAGCAGUAGGGAAUCUUCCGCAAUGGGCGAAAGCGUGACGGAGCAACGCCGCGUGAGUGAUGAAGGUCUUCGGAUCGUAAAACUCUGUUAUUAGGGAAGAACAAAUGUGUAAGUAACUAUGCACGUCUUGACGGUACCUAAUCAGAAAGCCACGGCUAACUACGUG